rnacentral:rRNA from 1 species
UACGGAGGGUGCAAGCGUUGUUCGGAAUUAUUGGGCGUAAAGAGCUCGUAGGCGGUUCGGCAAGUCGGGUGUGAAAACUUUGGGCUCAACCCAAAGCCUGCACUCGAUACUGCUGUGACUUGAGUCCGGUAGGGGAGUGGGGAAUUCCUGGUGUAGCGGUGGAAUGCGCAGAUAUCAGGAGGAACACCGGUGGCGAAGGCGCUACUCUGGGCCGGUACUGACGCUGAGGAGCGAAAGCGUGGGGAGCGAACAGG